ACAGAGAAAUAAUAUAGUGAUUAAUCAGCAACCAAUUAUUGUGUCUACUUGCGUUAAUGGUGUGUGUCAUACAUUUUACUUAUGGUUGUGGUGACUUGUGAAUUGUAAUUGACAGCACCAACUUUACAAUUUUGGAGAUCUCAAUGGUUUAAAUGCAAGGUUUUUGAACUCGGCCCAGUGAUUGAACCAGUGAAGGCAGAGGGUUAGGGAUUUAAAGUUCAAUUAGGGUUGAGCUGGCG
rnacentral:misc_RNA from 1 species